rnacentral:rRNA from 1 species
UACGUAGGGUGCGAGCGUUGUCCGGAAUUAUUGGGCGUAAAGAGCUCGUAGGCGGCUUGUCGCGUCGGAUGUGAAAGCCCGGGGCUUAACUCCGGGUCUGCAUUCGAUACGGGCAGGCUAGAGUUCGGUACGGGAGAUCGGAAUCCUGGUGUAGCGGUGGAAUGCGCAGAUAUCAGGGAGGAACACCGGUGGGCGAAGGCGGGUUCUCUGGGCAUGUCCUGACGUGGAGG